GACGAACCGUGCAAACGUUGUUCGGAAUCACUGGGCUUAAAGGGCGCGUAGGCGGCUCGCCAAGUCGGGGGUGAAAUCUUUCGGCUCAACCGGAAAAGUGCCUUCGAUACUGGCGGGCUAGAGGGAGGUAGGGGCAUGCGGAACUUCCGGUGGAGCGGUGAAAUGCGUUGAUAUCGGAAGGAACGCCGGUGGCGAAAGCGGCGUGCUGGACCUCUUCUGACGCUGAGGCGCGAAAGCUAGGGGAGCAAACGGGG
rnacentral:rRNA from 1 species